AAGUUAUUGUGGAAAAAGAUAUAGCAAAAUAAUGAGUAUUCAAUUCCUGAAAAUUUGUCUUUGGAGAUUUUGUUUUCAAAAAGGUAAAAACAAAUUAGCUUCACCCCUCUUUGUAUUGGAAUAAAAUAAUAAUACUGUCACUCUAUUAAUAUGACUUUGGUAGAGAGAUUUAUAAUAUUCCUAGUAUCAUAAAAAUAACAUAAAAAUACACUCUCUUAAGCACUAUUAUGAAGGAGGCAUGAGCUCUUCAUAAAGAAAUCCGAGGAAAUAAAAAGGGACAAGUGUCUGAAACCUCAAAAAGAUAGAUCAUGAGAAAAUAAAAAGGGACAAGUGUCCAGAACCUCGAUCUAGAAAAAAGAGAAAAAAAGAGAAAAGAAAGAGAGCUCAUGGUUCCUCCUACAUAAUAUGCUAAGGAAGUGAAUAAUUUGUCUGGUCCAGGAAUAUGAUAUUUCCCUCCUUGGUCAUAACAUCAAAUUAAUAUCAUAAUCAUUGAUGCCACUAUAAUUAAGAGAAAGUUGAAGCUAUGUUUUAUUUGUGAACUUCACUUACUCUCCAGUAGACAAAAUUUAUGGAAGAGAAUAAUCUAUCUUAAGCUAUCCACUC
rnacentral:lncRNA from 1 species